CCUACGGGGGGCAGCAGUGGGGAAUAUUGGACAAUGGGGGGAACCCUGAUCCAGCCAUGCCGCGUGUGUGAAGAAGGCCCUCGGGUUGUAAAGCACUUUCAGUGAGGAAGAACGCCUGGUGGUUAAUACCCAUCAGGAAAGACAUCACUCACAGAAGAAGCACCGGCUAACUCCGUGCCAGCAGCCGCGGUAAUACGGAGGGUGCGAGCGUUAAUCGGAAUUACUGGGCGUAAAGCGCGCGUAGGUGGCUUGAUAAGCCGGUUGUGAAAGCCCCGGGCUCAACCUGGGAACGGCAUCCGGAACUGUCCAGCUAGAGUGCAGGAGAGGAAGGUAGAAUUCCCGGUGUAGCGGUGAAAUGCGUAGAGAUCGGGAGGAAUACCAGUGGCGAAGGCGGCCUUCUGGACUGACACUGACACUGAGGUGCGAAAGCGUGGGUAGCAAACAGGAUUAGAUACCCGUGUAGUC
rnacentral:rRNA from 1 species